GGCAUGAAGGGUCACUGAAUGGUUUGAGUAUGAAAAUGAUAUUAUCAUUGAAAACCUGGACCUGGACAGCUGUCACCAAGUUCUGCAGACCUGAAUGACACAGGACCCCAGCCUCACUUCCGAUGUCCUUGCCAUCAGGGAUGGAGACAGACAAGCACCUAAUCCACUUACCAUCCCAACACAAUCUCAGUGGUAUAUCUGCCAGAAGUGUAGGGACAUGCAAAUAGACACCAUACAGUUUCAUUAUGGAAUAGCAUUGUGAACAUUUGUCUUUGUAUACAUUUUUACUUCUCCCAUAUGUAUAAUUUUGACUGAUUUGUUUUCACUUUGUUUUGCACUACAUUAUAAUAAAUGUUUGUACCUGUCUUUGUUA